rnacentral:rRNA from 1 species
UACGUAGGGUGCAAGCGUUAAUCGGAAUUACUGGGCGUAAAGCGUGCGCAGGCGGUUAUUUAAGUCAGAUGUGAAAUCCCCGGGCUCAACCUGGGCACUGCAUUUGAGACUGUAUGGCUAGAGUGUGUCAGAGGGGGGUAGAAUUCCACGUGUAGCAGUGAAAUGCGUAGAUAUGUGGAGGAAUACCGAUGGCGAAGGCAGCCCCCUGGGAUAACACUGACGCUCAUGCACGAAAGCGUGGGGAGCAAACAGG